CCUACGGGUGGCAGCAGUGAGGAAUAUUGGUCAAUGGACGGAAGUCUGAACCAGCCAUGCCGCGUGCAGGAAGACGGCUCUAUGAGUUGUAAACUGCUUUUGUACAAGGGUAAACCUGAAUACGUGUAUUCAGCUGAAAGUACUGUACGAAUAAGGAUCGGCUAACUCCGUGCCAGCAGCCGCGGUAAUACGGAGGAUCCAAGCGUUAUCCGGAUUUAUGGGGUUUAAAGGGUGCGUAGGCGGAUUGAUAAGUUAGAGGUGAAAUGUCCGAGCUUAACUCGGGAACUGCCUCUACUACUGUUGAUCUAGAGCGUAGCUGCGGUAGGCGGAAUGUAUUGUGUAGCGGUGUCAUGCUUAGCGCUCAUACAGAACCCCGAUUGCGAAGGCAGCUUACCACUCUAUAUCUGACGUUGAGGCACGAACGCGUGGGGAGCAAACAGGAUUAGAUACCCGAGUAGUC
rnacentral:rRNA from 1 species